GUCCUACCAAACACACAUCAGUUUUCUCACAUGACAAUCUAUGUGUGGAGUUCACUUCACUGACGGAAGAAAGUGGAAAAUAUGUCUUUGUCUUAUAUUCUUCUCAUUUAUGUUGCCGGUGUUGCGGUAAAAGAAAGUUGUGCAGAUUCGGUUCCCACUCCCACUAUUGUAUUUUCCUCUGGGUACAUCA